CCUACGGGAGGCUGCAGUGAGGAAUAUUGGUCAAUGGGCGGGAGCCUGAACCAGCCAAGCCGCGUGAGGGAAGAAGGUACAGCGUAUCGUAAACCUCUUUUGUCAGGGAACAAAGGCGGGGACUAGUCCCCGGAUGAGGGUACCUGAAGAAAAAGCAUCGGCUAACUCCGUGCCAGCAGCCGCGGUAAUACGGAGGAUGCGAGGGUUAUCCGGAUUUAUGGGGUUUAAGGGGUGCGCAGGCGGCCUGUUAAGUCAGCGGUAAAAGCCCGGGGCUCAACCCCGGCGAGCCGUUGAAACUGGCGGGCUGGAGUUGGAUAGAAGUACGCGGAAUGCGCGGUGUAGCGGUGAAAUGCUUAGAUAUCGCGCAGAACCCCGAUUGCGAAGGCAGCGUACCGGCUCCACACUGACGCUGAUGCACGAAAGCGUGGGUAUCGAACAGGAUUAGAUACCCCAGUAGUC
rnacentral:rRNA from 1 species